GACGAACGCUGGCGGCGUGCCUAAUACAUGCAAGUCGAACGCAGUGGGGACGGGUGAGUAAAACGUGGGUAACCUCCCAUCAGAGGGGAUAACACUUGGAAACAGGUGCUAAACCGCUACUGAUGGAUGGACCCGCGGUGCAUUAGCUAGUUGGUGGGGUAACGGCUAACCAAGGCCACGAUGCAUAGCCGACCUGAGAGGGUGAACAGCAACACUGGAACUGAGACACGGCCCAGACUCCUACGGGAGGCAGCAGUAGGGAAGAGUCGGCAAUGGACGAAAGUCUGACAGAGCAACGCCGCGUGAGUGAAGAAGGUUUUCGGAUCGUAAAGCUCUGUUGUUAGAGAAGCGGUAUCUGACCAGAAAGCCACGGCUAACUACGUGCCAGCAGCCGCGGUAAUUC
rnacentral:rRNA from 1 species